UGGCUGAGUGGCAAAGUUCUGGGCUUCCAAACCGGAAGGCCCUGGGUUCGAAUCCUGG
rnacentral:tRNA from 1 species